rnacentral:rRNA from 1 species
AUGCAGUCGAACGAUGAAGCCCUUCGGGGUGGAUUAGUGGCGAACGGGUGAGUAACACGUGGGCAAUCUGCCCUUCACUCUGGGACAAGCCCUGGAAACGGGGUCUAAUACCGGAUAACACUCCCUCCCGCAUGGGUGGGGGUUAAAAGCUCCGGCGGUGAAGGAUGAGCCCGCGGCCUAUCAGCUUGUUGGUGAGGUAGUGGCUCACCAAGGCGACGACGGGUAGCCGGCCUGAGAGGGCGACCGGCCACACUGGGACUGAGACACGGCCCAGACUCCUACGGGAGGCAGCAGUGGGGAAUAUUGCACAAUGGGCGAAAGCCUGAUGCAGCGACGCCGCGUGAGGGAUGACGGCCUUCGGGUUGUAAACCUCUUUCAGCAGGGAAGAAGCGAAAGUGACGGUACCUGCAGAAGAAGCGCCGGCUAACUACGUGCCAGCAGCCGCGGUAAUACGUAGGGCGCAAGCGUUGUCCGGAAUUAUUGGGCGUAAAGAGCUCGUAGGCGGCUUGUCGCGUCGGUUGUGAAAGCCCGGGGCUUAACCCCGGGUCUGCAGUCGAUACGGGCAGGCUAGAGUGUGGUAGGGGAGAUCGGAAUUCCUGG